rnacentral:tRNA from 1 species
AAUAAGGUGCCUGAUUAAAGGGUUAUUUUGAUAGAAUAAAUCAAGUAGAAAAAUUACUCUUAUUG